UACGGGGGGGGCUAGCGUUGUUCGGAAUUACUGGGCGUAAAGGGCGCGUAGGCGGUCUGCUAAGUUGGGUGUGAAAACUCUGGGCUUAACCCAGAGCCUGCAUUCAAAACUGACAGGCUAGAGUUCUGGAGGGGAUAGCGGAAUUCCUGGUGUAGCGGUGAAAUGCGUAGAUAUCAGGAGGAACACCGGUGGCGAAGGCGGCUAUCUGGACAGAGUCUGACGCUGAGGCGCGAAAGCUAGGGGAGCAAACAGG
rnacentral:rRNA from 1 species